GGGUCAGUAGCUCAGAUGGUUAGAGCACCUGCCUCUUAAGCAGGGUGUCCUGGGUUCGAUUCCCAGCUGACCCACCA
rnacentral:tRNA from 1 species